rnacentral:rRNA from 1 species
AGAUUGAACGCUGGCGGCAUGCCUUAUACAUGCAAGUCGAACGGCAGCACGGGAGCAAUCCUGGUGGCGAGUGGCGAACGGGUGAGUAAUAUAUCGGAACGUGCCCAGUCGUGGGGGAUAACGUAGAGAAAUUUACGCUAAUACCGCAUACGAUCCAAGGAUGAAAGGCGGGGGACCGUAAGGCCUCGCGCGACUGGAGCGGCUGAUAUCAGAUUAGCUU